UACGGAGGGUGCAAGCGUUAUCCGGAUUCACUGGGUUUAAAGGGAGCGUAGGCGGGCAGGUAAGUCAGUGGUGAAAUCUUCGAGCUUAACUCGGAAACUGCCAUUGAUACUAUCUAUCUUGAAUAUUGUGGAGGUAAGCGGAAUAUGUCAUGUAGCGGUGAAAUGCUUAGAGAUGACAUAGAACACCUAUUGCGAAGGCAGCUUACUACGCAUAUAUUGACGCUGAGGCUCGAAAGCGUGGGGAUCAAACAGG
rnacentral:rRNA from 1 species